rnacentral:lncRNA from 1 species
AAGCACUUGGUAAUUCUUUGGCCAUUCUACUGUUGACAAGACAGUGGUCAUGCUUUCUCAUAUUUAUUUCUAUAGUCUCCUGUAAGGUCGCCUGUGCUGCUGAAACAAUCAGUUUUAUUAUUUUGGCUUAGUUCCAAUUUAUCUCUAUCUCUGCUAUACGCCUCCUCUGCUAGCGCUGUGGUGGUUCUACCCAUUUUAAUAUCCCGUUUAUGCUCACUUAUUCUCUUUGCAAGUGUCGUCGUCAUAACACCGAUGUAGCUGGCUUCUCGGUCUUCAGUAGGGUAGCUAAUAAGUAUGUUAUACACCCCAGACUUUUUGUAUUGGGUCCGUGGAUCUUUCUCGUUUCGGAUCACAUUAAAGAGGGUUGGAGAUCUAGUGGCAGCAACUUUUCUUUUAGUUUCUCAUGCAAUCUCUCUUAUAAUUUUCUGCUUACUGGUUUGAUAUGGUACUGCUAGGUAUCUCCCUCCCUCAUUUCCAGGUUCGUUGGUGUUAGUUCUUCUUCUCUCCGUAGGUUUCUUAGCCUUCUUGUGUAUAUUACGUAUGAAA